GAUUGUAGUCUGCAACUCGACUACAUGAAGCUGGAAUCGCUAGUAAUCGCGAAUCAGCAUGUCGCGGUGAAUACGUUCCCGGGCCUUGUACACACCGCCCGUCACACCAUGGGAGUUGGAAGCGCCCGAAGUCGGUGACCUGACCGAAAGGGAGGAGCCGCCGAAGGUGAAGCCAGCGACUGGGGUGAAGUCGUAACAAGGUAGC
rnacentral:rRNA from 1 species